AAUCCUACGGGAGGCAGCAGUGGGGAAUAUUGCACAAUGGGGGGAACCCUGAUGCAGCGACGCCGCGUGGGUGAGGAAGUACUUCGGUAUGUAAAGCCCUAUCAGCAGGGAAGAAAAUGACGGUACCUGACUAAGAAGCCCCGGCUAACUACGUGCCAGCAGCCGCGGUAAUACGUAGGGGGCGAGCGUUAUCCGGAUUUACUGGGUGUAAAGGGAGCGUAGACGGCGUCGCAAGUCUGAAGUGAAAGCCCGUGGCUCAACCGCGGAACCGCUUUGGAAACUGCGAGGCUGGAGUGCUGGAGAGG
rnacentral:rRNA from 1 species